rnacentral:lncRNA from 1 species
AAAUACAUAGAAAGUGAAAGCUUCACCUAGAACAUCACCCAUGUCUGCUACACGCAAGUCAUGGCCAUCAACACCAACACUGAGAGCCACAGGGGCAUCGCCAGCUAGAACUCCUGUGACAUCACCAUUGCCUCCGAUGAAUAUCUAUACUGCAAUCUCUAUGCAAAGCCAAAAUUGGAUAAAGUGAGAACACUAGCAUGCAUUCAAACUUAAUAAACAAAACAUACGACCUGACUUCACAUGCAUAAUUAAUAACCAUAAGAUGUUCUGAGCAUACGGAUGCAAAGAGUUUAGAUUAGCAUUGCAAUGUCCAAGCUGGACAAUGCAAAGCAUUCUAAUUAAGGCAAAAUUACAAAAGUAGAAAGUAUGAGACUCAAAGCAGAAAAUGAAAGGGAAAGGGGAAAAUACAUGAAAAUAACAUCUUACCACUACACAAGUACGGAUGUCAAAAGUAACAGGAUACACAGCAUUUUCAAAUUCAGCUACAUCAAGCCCAAAACCAAAUCAUAAAGCUCAUAUUGUACAAAUAAAUAACAAAUGGUCAUGUAGCUUUAUGCUUAACAAUCGUUAUAAACGUCAAGUCUCAGGUGUGUGCCUUCUUGAAAACUUAAAAAAAGGUUCAAAGCUUGGAAUCAAACAAAUUAAAGCCGCUAUUCACGGGAUGAAAUAAAUGAGAGAAAUGAAUGAACCUAUAAUAGGCAAAAUCUUAUUGCACGAUUCCAAGAAAUGCUUCGUCA